ensembl:snoRNA SNORA70 Small nucleolar RNA SNORA70
CUGCUGCCGAUUAAGCUGACUGUGUGCUAUUUCCCACGAGGCCUGGCGUACAAGAACUGCAGGCAGCAGGCUUCCUGGUAGUGUCUACAACCUGUUGCUUGUAUGAGUUGUCCUAACAGGGCCUGGAGACAGCC